GACGAACGCUGGCGGCGCGCCUAACACAUGCAAGUCGAACGGAGCUGAGAGAAGCUUGCUUUUCUUAGCUUAGUGGCGAACGGGUGAGUAACGCGUGAGUAACCUGCCCUGGAGUGGGGGGCAACAGUUGGAAACGACUGCUAAUACCGCAUAAGCCCACGAUCCGGCAUCGGAUUGAGGGAAAAGGAUUUAUUCGCUUCAGGAUGGACUCGCGUCCAAUUAGCUAGUUGGUGAGGUAACGGCCCACCAAGGCGACGAUUGGUAGCCGGACUGAGAGGUUGAACGGCCACAUUGGGACUGAGACACGGCCCAGACUCCUACGGGAGGCAGCAGUGGGGGAUAUUGCACAAUGGGGGAAACCCUGAUGCAGCGACGCCGCGUGGAGGAAGAAGGUUUUCGGAUUGUAAACUCCUGUCGUGAGGGACGAUAAUGACGGUACCUAACAAGAAAGCACCGGCUAACUACGUG
rnacentral:rRNA from 1 species